rnacentral:lncRNA from 1 species
UCAUACAAAAAUGAUAGCAUAAAGUAAGCAACGCUCUCGACGGAAGCUCCACACAGGGACACUGUUGACUGGUUGACUCCAAACCUAGUACUCAUACCGAUAAUCCUCAUUCCAGACAUCUUCAUUAUCAUACCCUGAGGUGUUGGGAAAUUGCAAGAGUGAGCACAUAUCGUACUCAACAAGUAUAACCAGGGGUUCAUGGGGCUCAAAUAGCUGACACUGGUUUGACUGCAUUUAGCUUUUAAUAGUUGAUAGCAUGUUUAAUCAUUGGAUAGCAAAUGUCAAGGUAGCAUAAUAAAUUCCAUAACCACAUGAUCAAUGUAUACAAGAAUUAAGAAUAACACAUAUAAACAACACAAUAAACCAUCAUUUAUUAUCAUUAUUCACGUUCAUCAGUGUCCAUCUAUUCCGUCAGUUUUCCGGGCCGCCCGUAUCCGUGGGCACGGCUAGUAUACCAGGUUUAACAUUCUGCAGAGGUUGUACAUCUUUACCCAUGAGUCAUGAUUUACCCUUUCGCCCGAGGUAGCUAGUCUCUUAACCACCUUCCAAGGGAGGUCGGCAGGGAUCACUAUGAAGUCUUUCAAAAGUUCGUCUAACAAGUUAGGGCCGCAAGGUUUCCUUUGCGCGCAGAUAUAGAGCCCCCCUUCCGAUGGCACAAUGACUCGCAGCCUAUACACAUACAGACAGAGGCCACACUAUACCCAAAACGGUUCAGCCCCUCUAGCGCCCUUUCGGGUAACCGCUAACAAGCUAGAAAAGGGCUUCAUACUGAGCUAAAGCCAGAGCCAUAAUAGCCCUCAUGGUUGCACUGUUAUCCCGGGUGAUCACGUACAGACAAGAUCUCGUACAGUUAUCAGUCAUUCUUUUAUGUUCAUUGCAUAGCUAUUAAUCAUCUUACAAGAUCAUGGAUUAAGUCAAGCACUAGCACAUCUACACCAAAUGCAUAUCAAGUAGGUAGCAAGGAAUACAGGUAACAAUCAUCUAUGAUUUUGCUAAGGUCGACAAGGUGAUAGCAUGCAUAUGAGAUAUAUGUGUACUUAAGUGAAUAGGUAACAAGGAUGAUCCCAAGUUAUACUUGCCUUGAUCAAAACUCUCCUGAGCCUGCUGGUCUUCAAAAACUUGAUCUUGCUCACCAACGUAUCGCUCACCGUCUAUACCCGAUCAUCAAUCAACAACACGCAAUCCAAU